UGGGGAAUCUUGGACAAUGGGCGAAAGCCUGAUCCAGCCAUUCCGCGUGGAUGACGAAGGCCUUAGGGUUGUAAAAUCCUUUCAGCAGGGAAGAUAAUGACGGUACCUGCAGAAGAAGCCCCGGCUAACUCCGUGCCAGCAGCCGCGGUAAUACGGAGGGGGCUAGCGUUGUUCGGAAUUACUGGGCGUAAAGCGCGCGUAGGCGGAUCAGUCAGUCAGAGGUGAAAUCCCGGCGCUCAACGUCGGAACUGCCUUUGAUACUGCUGAUCUGGAGUUCAGGAGAGGUGUGUGGAAUUCCGAGUGUAGAGGUGAAAUUCGUAGAUAUUCGGAGGAACACCAGAGGCGAAGGCGACACACUGGCCUGAUACUGACGCUGAGGCGCGAAAGCGUGGGGAGCAAACAGGAUUAGAUACCCCCGUAGUCC
rnacentral:rRNA from 1 species